rnacentral:rRNA from 1 species
AUAUCAAUAAGCGGAGGAAAAGAAACCAACAGGGAUUGCCCUAGUAACGGCGAGUGAAGCGGCAACAGCUCAAAUUUGAAAUCAGGCUCUCGGGCCCGAGUUGUAAUUUGUAGAGGAUACUUUUGAUGCGGUGCCUUCCGAGUUCCCUGGAACGGGACGCCAUAGAGGGUGAGAGCCCCGUCUGGUUGGAUGCCAAAUCUCUGUAAAGUUCCUUCAACGAGUCGAGUAGUUUGGGAAUGCUGCUCUAAAUGGGAGGUAUAUGUCUUCUAAAGCUAAAUACCGGCCAGAGACCGAUAGCGCACAAGUAGAGUGAUCGAAAGAUGAAAAGCACUUUGAAAAGAGAGUUAAAAAGUACGUGAAAUUGUUGAAAGGGAAGCGUUUAUGACCAGACUUGGGCUUGGUUAAUCAUCUGGGGUUCUCCCCAGUGCACUUUUCCAGUCCAGGCCAGCAUCAGUUUUCCCCGGGGGAUAAAGGCGGCGGGAAUGUGGCUCUCUUCGGGGAGUGUUAUAGCCCACCGUGUAAUACCCUGGGGGGGACUGAGGUUCGCGCAUCUGCAAGGAUGCUGGCGUAAUGGUCAUCAACG